rnacentral:rRNA from 1 species
GGAGAAGGGGGGGCGGGGGCGUGGUAAAAGACGGGGGGGGGGGGCGUUGUCGGGGAGCGCGGGGCGUGAGGGGCGGGAAGCUGGGGUCUAAGGCGCGUGGGGAAUGCGCGGGGUCCAACCCGGCGGUGGCGGUGGUGGUGGGGAGGCUGGGGCAGAGAGGAGGCGGGCGGAAUGGCGGGGGUAGCGGUGGAAGGCGUAGAGAUCCGGAAGAAGACCGGUGGCGAAGGCGGCCUGUUGGGGUCUGGCGGAGGCGGAGGCGGGACAGCGUGGGGGGCAAACAGGAUUAGAUACCCGGUAGUC